GAUGAAGAACGUAGCGAAAUGCGAUAAGUAAUGCGAAUUGCAGAAUUUCCGUGAGUCAUCGAAUCUUUGAACGCACAUUGCGCCCACUGGUAUUCCGGUGGGCAUGCCUGUUCGAGCGUCAUUAUCCUCCCUCAAACCCCGGGUUUGGUGUUGGACCCAAGUUGUGUGAACAACUGGUCUCAAAGACAAUGACGGCGUCCGUGGGACCCUCGGUGCAACGAGCUUUUAGGAACACGCAUCGAGUUGCAAGGACCUUCCGGGCCGGUCUCCUUUACCAUUUUACAAGGUUGACCUCGGAUCAGGUAGGAAUACCCGCUGAACUUAAGCAUAUCAAUAAGCGGAGGA
rnacentral:misc_RNA from 1 species